GUUUCAGCCGCCGCGGUAAUACAGAGGGUGCAAGCGUUGUUCGGAAUUAUUGGGCGUAAAGCGCGUGUAGGCGGCCUUGCAAGUUGGGUGUGAAAGCCCUCGGCUUAACCGAGGAAGUGCGCCCAAAACUACAAGGCUUGAGUACCGGAGAGGGUGGCGGAAUUCCCGGUGUAGAGGUGAAAUUCGUAGAUAUCGGGAGGAACACCAGUGGCGAAGGCGGCCACCUGGACGGCUACUGACGCUGAGACGCGAAAGCGUGGGGAGCAAACAGGAUUAGAUACCCUAGUAGUCC
rnacentral:rRNA from 1 species